AGCGAACGCUGGCGGCAGGCCUAACACAUGCAAGUCGAGCGCCGUAGCAAUACGGAGCGGCAGACGGGAGAGUAACACGUGGGAACGUGCCCUUUGGUUCGGAACAACCCAGGGAAACUUGGGCUAAUACCGGAUAAGCCCUUACGGGGAAAGAUUUAUCGCCGAAGAAUCGGCCCGCGUCUGAUUAGCUAGUUGGUGGGGUAACGGCCCACCAAGGCGACGAUCAGUAGCUGGUCUGAGAGGAUGAUCAGCCUCACUGGGACUGAGACACGGCCCAGACUCCUACGGGAGGCAGCAGUGGGGAAUAUUGGACAAUGGGCGCAAGCCUGAUCCAGCCAUGCCGCGUGGGUGAUGAAGGCCCUAGGGUUGUAAAGCCCUUUCGGCGGGGAAGAUAAUGACGGUACCCGCAGAAGAAGCCCCGGCUAACUUCGUGCCAGCCGCCGCUGUAACAC
rnacentral:rRNA from 1 species